ensembl:lncRNA
GAGGUAAGCUGUCUGGGAUCAUAUCCAUUAGUCUGGUCUGUAGGUAAGCUGUCUGGGAUCAUAUCCAUUAGUCUGGUCUGGAGGUAAGCUGUCUGGGAUCAUUUCUGAAUAUCCAUUAGUCUGGUCUGGUGAGGUAAGCUGUCUGGGAUCAUUUCUGAAUAUCCAUUAGUCUGGUCUGGAGGUAAGCUGUCUGGGAUCAUUUCUGAAUAUCCAUUAGUCUGGUCUGGAGGUAAGCUGUCUGGGAUCAUAUCCAUUAGUCUGGUCUGGUGAGGUAAGCUGUCUGUGAUCAUAUCCAUUAGUCUGGUCUGGAGGUAAGCUGUCUGGGAUCAUUUUAAGGGAGAAUGUAAUUGGCAUGCCGACUGUAGGAAUGUCCACCAGGGCUGUUUCCAUAAGCUGCAUCCAACGUCGUUUUAGUGAGUGAAUUUGGGAGACUGUCCAACCGGCCUCAACUGCAGGUGAAACCACGCCAGCCCAGGUGCUCUACAUCCGAUUUCUUCACCUGCGGGAUCGCGUGAGGGGGGGUGCUGAGGAGUAUUUCUGUCUGUAAUGAAGCCCUUUUGUCGGGACAACUCAUUCUGAGUGGGGGCCCUCCCAGGC